rnacentral:rRNA from 1 species
GACGAACCGUGCGAACGUUGUUCGGAAUCACUGGGCUUAAAGGGCGCGUAGGCGGGCUCGCCAGUCAGGGGUGAAAGCCCACGGCUCAACCGUGGAAGUGCCUUUGAUACUGCGAGUCUCGAGGGAGGUAGGGGCAUGCGGAACUUCCGGUGGAGCGGUGAAAUGCGUAGAUAUCGGAAGGAACGCCGGUGGCGAAAGCGGCGUGCUGGACCUCUUCUGACGCUGAGGCGCGAAAGCCAGGGGAGCAAACGGG